CAUCAUAGGAACCUGUAUCAAGUAGGUUUGCUAUAUUAAAGAGGGCAACCAGACCCAUACUAGCCUUCAUGGAAAUGAGAAAGAAGCCUUUCUGAAUGCAGUCACCACAGUUAGGGGCUUCUCUGUUACUAUGAACCACGUCAGUGAAGAUCAGGCUGCAGCUGAGAAGCAGGGCUAAGGCAUGGCACACCAUCAGAAGUAGGAGCAGUUCCAAAGAGCUUCAUCUCUGAAGAUUGAGGGAGUAGACACCUCUGCCUGUCCUUUGGCGGUGCCCACAUAAGGAAACUUUCCUCCCAGAGGUGUGCUGGAUUCCUAUCCCUGACAUGGGGUUGACAUCAAAACAAUUCUGCAACAGGAAGAACCAGGAGGCGGCUCAUCUGACAAGAACCCCUCCUUCAGCAGGAAGACUGGAGGUGGUUUGAUCUGGUGCGUGCUUACAUAACACUGUCUCCC
rnacentral:lncRNA from 1 species